UACUUGUUCACUAUAGGCAAGCAGUUGAUCUUCUUCUGUGACAUUCUAUUGGACGGUUUAUUUAAUACAAAUGUCUUUCGAAGAUAUUUAAUCUCGAAACCAAACAGACAAGGAUGGAUUACCUGUUUAUGUUUUUUUUUAAUUCCAACUUUUCCAGAGGACAAGUCAGUAACCCAAGUUCUGGAUAAGAGUCUCAAGAAAAAAGCUUCCCACCCAGUGCACGGACAAUGAAGAUGAAGAAUUUCCUAUUUCCUCUGGACAGGACGUCUUAGAAAUUACAGCUUCUGAUGAAAGACAAGGCAAUCACAGCUCUGUGAGACCUUUCCAAUCUGCCCGAUAUGAGAAUGACGAUGCUGCAACUCCAGC